rnacentral:rRNA from 1 species
AGAGUUUGAUCAUGGCUCAGAGGAUGAACGCUAGCGGCAGGCUUAAUACAUGCAAGUCGAGGGGUAACAGGGGUAGCAAUACCUGCUGACGACCGGCAAACGGGUGCGGAACACGUACGCAACCUUCCCAUAACUGGUGAAUAGCCCUCCGAAAGGAGGAUUAAUACACCGUAACAUAAUGAAAUGGCAUCAUUUUAUUAUUAUAGGCUUCGGCCGGUUUUGGAUGGGCGUGCGCCUGAUUAGGUAGUUGGCGGGGUAACGGCCCACCAAGCCUGCGAUCAGUAACUGGUGUGAGAGCACGACCAGUCACACGGGCACUGAGACACGGGCCCGACUCCUACGGGAGGCAGCAGUAAGGAAUAUUGGUCAAUGGACGAAAGUCUGAACCAGCCAUGCCGCGUGAAGGAUGAAGGCCCUCUGGGUUGUAAACUUCUUUUAUCUGGGACGAAAAAAGGGCAUUCUUGCUCACUUGACGGUACCAGAGGAAUAAGCACCGGCUAACUCCGUGCCAGCAGCCGCGGUAAUACGGAGGGUGCAAGCGUUAUCCGGAUUUACUGGGUUUAAAGGGUGCGUAGGUGGGUUGGUAAGUCAGUGGUGAAAUCUUCGAGCUUAACUCGGAAACUGCCAUUGAUACUAUUAAUCUUGAAUUAUCUGGAGGUAAGCGGAAUAUGUCAUGUAGCGGUGAAAUGCUUAGAUAUGACAUAGAACACCCAUUGCGAAGGCAGCUUACUACGGAUCGAUUGACACUGAGGCACGAAAGCGUGGGGAUCAAACAGGAUUAGAUACCCUAGUAGUCC